AUUGAACGCUGGCGGCAUGCCUUACACAUGCAAGUCGAACGGCAGCACGGGAGCAAUCCUGGUGGCGAGUGGCGAACGGGUGAGUAAUAUAUCGGAACGUGCCCAGUCGUGGGGGAUAACGUAGCGAAAGCUACGCUAAUACCGCAUACGAUCUAUGGAUGAAAGCGGGGGAUCGCAAGACCUCGCGCGAUUGGAGCGGCCGAUAUCAGAUUAGGUAGUUGGUGAGGUAAAGGCUCACCAAGCCGACGAUCUGUAGCUGGUCUGAGAGGACGACCAGCCACACUGGGACUGAGACACGGCCCAGACUCCUACGGGAGGCAGCAGUGGGGGAAUUUUGGACAAUGGGCGCAAGCCUGAUCCAGCAAUGCCGCGUGAGUGAUGAAGGCCUUAAGGGUUGUAAAGCUCUUUUACCCGGGAUGAUAAUGACAGUACCGGAGGAAUAAGCUCCGGCUAACUCCGUGCCAGC
rnacentral:rRNA from 1 species